CCUACGGGGGGCAGCAGUGGGGAAUUUUGCGCAAUGCUCGUAAGAGUGACGCAGCGACGCCGCGUGAAUGACGAAGGCCUUCGGGUCGUAAAGUUCUAUCAGCAGGGAAGAAAAUGACGGUACCUGACUAAGAAGCCCCGGCUAACUACGUGCCAGCAGCCGCGGUAAUACGUAGGGGGCAAGCGUUAUCCGGAUUUACUGGGUGUAAAGGGAGCGUAGACGGCAGCGCAAGUCUGGAGUGAAAUCCCAUGGCUUAACCAUGGAACUGCUUUGGAAACUGUGCAGCUAGAGUGCAGGAGAGGUAAGCGGAAUUCCUAGUGUAGCGGUGAAAUGCGUAGAUAUUAGGAGGAACACCAGUGGCGAAGGCGGCUUACUGGACUGUAACUGACGUUGAGGCUCGAAAGCGUGGGGAGCAAACAGGAUUAGAUACCCUAGUAGUC
rnacentral:rRNA from 1 species